UCUUUUUCCUAGGAAGCUCUUCGGCUCCCAUGUAAAUCAAGGCCUCAAAUAUACAUACUAAACUUUCUCUAGAAAUAUCUGAGCCUCAGCCAAUGAUCUUGUGCCAAUGUGUAUGUUAAAAGUGAGCCCAAGGUGAAAGAGUCCUGCCUUCUAGAGAAGCCCUGGACUGUCUCUCCAUCCUCCAUUGUCUCUGGUCAAUUCACAUGAAUGUAGUGGAGCACAUUUGAGCUCUUGGAAUGAAGUUGGAUAAGAAUAUCUUACACGAGAGCACCUUUCUUCACAAUUCUAUUUGAAUCCCACGAUGGGGCCAGGAUUCCAGGACAAGAGGUAACUUAACUGAGACACAGAUGUGAACUCCGCUGUGGAGGAUGCCCCUGGGCCCCCAGCCGGAUGGGUGAGGUCAUCUGUGAUUGUUGUACAGAGGAGUCCUGUGGGCUAGUUGAAACUUCUGGCAUUUAUCACAAAAUCCCAGCAAUAGAGAAUGAUUUGGAGUGUGGUCUCUGGCUUCCUUGGGUGCCUACAAGCCCAGCACCGUUGUAGGGGGCUUUCAGUAGCUGAGCAAUCCAUGAUGAAUGAACUCUUUUCUGUGGGCAGCAAACUCCCUGUUAUGGGAUAUGACUGGAGAAGAGAGAAUUGUCUCCUGGUGAACAGACUCCAGAAAGAGUGGCACAACCCUUUCCACCACCACCAUCCAGCCUGUUGUUCCACGACUUGCUUAACCAACCGGGGACUCAGACUUCUCACCCCUAAGUAAGGUUAGUAAGAGCAGUUCUAUGAAUUUCCUGGUGGAGUCUGAGUGGAAGAUAAAAGGACAAUUGAAAAUACUUUGUCAAGGGGUGCCUGGGUGACUCUGUCGGUGAAGCGUUGGGCUCUUGAUUUCAGCUCAGGUCAUGAUCUCAGGGUCUUGAGAUUGAGCCCCACACUGGGUUCCCUGCUCAGCACGGAGUCUGCUUGAGAUUCUCUCUCUUCCUCUCUCCCCACUCUCUCUUUCUCUCUCAAAAAGAUAAAAUCUUAAAAAAAAAAAAAAGAAAAUACUUUCUGGAAAGUUGAAAGGUAAAGACCCUAUACUUUAUGUGCUGAUCUUUGCUUCCAGUGUAACCAAAAAGGGCCAGGUGUGCACAACUGAGCCCAGUGAGAGCCAGUUAAAGUAAAGCUUCUUUCUCAGAGGUCCCGUGUGUAUGCAUUUGUCAUCAGCAUCUCAUCCUUUGAAUAAGAGGCGAGGAAAAACAUACCUGAGAGAGAAACAGAGAUGGGAAAAGGCAUGGUUCUGAUGAUGAUGGUUCAGGAAGGCAACACCUUUUCUCCAAUGGAAGUGGGAGUUCCCUGGGGGCUAGGAAGAAACGUUCUUAUAUGGCCCCCAUGAUCUGUGUGGUGUGGCCACAUCCUUCUGCAGAUAGAGGAGAAAAAGCCACUGAGCAAGGAUAAUUGAAAGUCUAUGUGAGGGUGGGGAAGCUUGAUGGUGUGAUGAUGAUGAUGGCAAUGCUGUCCGCAAGUGUCUGCUACGUGCCACAGGUUUUACUCAGCUUUGGGCCAUAUUUACCUCAUGUUCCCACAGCACUGUGAUUUGGGUAUUCUUAUUCUGCAGAUCAGGUCGUAAGCUCAGAGAGGGUCUUUGCUCAAAGUUGUAUCUCUACUAAGCAGUAGAAUCAUGAUUUGAGCCCAGAUCUGUUUCAACUCUUAAGCCUGUGGGGGUUUUUUGUUGUUGUUUUUGUGUUUUUAUUUUCUACCUGGCUAAAUUUUCCAAGUUCCUAGGGAAGAGGGGAGCCAUUGGUCUUCGAAAGGAAGAGAGGAGGAAAGGAUGGGAAGCAUACCAAGAGAUGUUCAAAUGGUCUCUGCGUAUCCACGGGGAAGGAAUUGUGUCUGUCUUUCUACCACGGUAUCCUCACACCUGUUCUCCACACAGAACAGGAGCUCACUAAAUAUUUUUCAAUGAAUGGAUGAAUUAGUAAAUGAGUGAAACAUAAAAUAGCACAGAUAUUUUGAAGGGUACAGAGGAGAAAAUAAGGAACUUUUAACAAAUAAGCAUUAUGUCUUGAGAGGAG
rnacentral:lncRNA from 1 species